rnacentral:rRNA from 1 species
AGUGAACGCUGGCGGUAGGCCUAACACAUGCAAGUCGAACGGCAGCACAGUAAGAGCUUGCUCUUACGGGUGGCGAGUGGCGGACGGGUGAGGAAUACAUCGGAAUCUACUUUUUCGUGGGGGAUAACGUAGGGAAACCUACGCUAAUACCGCAUACGACCUACGGGUGAAAGCAGGGGAUCUUCGGACCUUGCGCGAUUGAAUGAGCCGAUGUCGGAUUAGCUAGUUGGCGGGGUAAAGGCCCACCAAGGCGACGAUCCGUAGCUGGUCUGAGAGGAUGAUCAGCCACACUGGAACUGAGACACGGUCCAGACUCCUACGGGAGGCAGCAGUGGGGAAUAUUGGACAAUGGGCGCAAGCCUGAUCCAGCUAUACCGCGUGGGUGAAGAAGGCCUUCGGGUUGUAAAGCCCUUUUGUUGGGAAAGAAAAGCAGCAGGUUAAUACCCCGCUGUUCUGACGGUACCCAAAGAAUAAGCACCGGCUAACUUCGUG